AACGAACGCUGGCGGCGUGGAUUAGGCAUGCAAGUCGAACGUGAAAGGGGCUUCGGCCCUGAGUAAAGUGGCAAACGGGUGAGUAACGCGUGGAGAACCUGCCCGGAAGCGGGGGAUAACACUUCUAACGAGGUGCUAAUACCGCAUGUGUCUGCGUGAGCGCAUGCUCGCGCAGGUAAACGUGGCCUCUGCUCGCAAGCUACGGCUUCCGGAUGGCUCUGCGUCUCAUUAGCUAGUUGGUGGGGUAACGGCUCACCAAGGCGACGAUGGGUAGCUGGUCUGAGAGGAUGGUCAGCCACACUGGGACUGAGAUACGGCCCAGACUCCUACGGGAGGCAGCAGUCGAGAGGCUUCCGCAAGUGGGGAAACCCUGACGGAGCGACGCCGCGUGAGCGAUGAA
rnacentral:rRNA from 1 species